AAAAAACAAUUUAUUAACAUUAGAACAAAAAUAUUAGUCAACCAUUUAUUAUAAAAAAAUAAAAAAUGUUUGUUACAAUCGACUCGAACAAAAACUAGUGUAGAAAAGUAUUAAUUAUUAUAUAUGAGAUAAAGAAUUAUGAUGUUAGCGUCGUGGCUUACACCAUUAAGUGAAUUUCACAGGUUACAUUGCCUAACAUGGAGAAGCUGCGCAUUCUGAGAUUGCAUUAUAUAGUAAAGUUAGUGAACAUGAGGGCAAAGAAUACAAGUAAAUCAUUACAAAAUCUUGAAAUACUUCAUGUAGAAGACUGUGAAUCACUGGAAGUGCUGUUUGACUUUGAAUGUCUAACAAUUCCAUAAGAUCAUGCUGAAGGUGUAUUUGGUCAACUGAGAUCGCUGAGGCUAGAAUCUCUGGACAAAUUAGUGCACAUUAUAGGGACCGUUCCUAAAGGAAUUCGUAUCUUUGAGAAUUUGACAUCAAUUGUUGUUAAAGAAUGUGGUAUCUUAAAAUACCUAUUCUCACCUUCAAUGGCCUAUUCUCUUGUGGCACUGAAAAUUAUAAAGGUUACAGAUUGUGAAUCAAUUAAAGAGAUUUUUGGAAAAGAAGAAGAAGGCACUUUAGAGAUCCAAAUAGUUGAAGCAAUGAAAACCACAAUUGUGUUUCCUAAGUUGGACAGUUUACUACUUUGGAAUCUUUCAAGUAUUCAAAUGUUUUGCUCUCAGAACUGUGAACUUGAGUUCCCUUUAUUGGAGGACUUGACCGUUGAAAAUUGCCCUAUGAUGAGAAAAUUGAGUCCAUGGCCAGUAAGUGCACCAAAGCUUUGAUAUUUCCAAUUUGUUAGUUAAGGCAGGUAUGUAUGUGUUCUCGAUUCCUAUUUUACUUCUUCUACUUUACUUCUAUAUUUGCUUUUACACUAUUUAUUUAUAUUCUUUGUUCCUCAGGCAGCUUGGAAGAGGAGGAUCAAGUGUGUGACAAAUAAAAAUUACUUGAGAAAUAUAAAGUUCUUUAUUUCCUAGGUAUAAAUCCUGAUGAAAUUAUUUCUUGUCUAUAAAAUAUCUAUUUAAAUUCUACUGAUUAAAUUAUUAAAAACUGUG
rnacentral:lncRNA from 1 species